UGAGCAUAAAAUGAACACUUUAAGAGAACGCUUUUGCAGUCAGUAGACACAAACACACUCCUCCACAAGACUGGGGAAUGUUUGUUUGGUAAAGAAAAAACCUACAGACACUCUCCUCUCUACGAGGUGUUGCAGAGUUUUACGGAAUUUCAGUCCGGAUUUAUACUUUGUCCCUCGCUCAUGCUUCUCCCGUCUCAGGCUGAUAGCAGUCCACAGUAGACCUAUAAAAUGUCAGUCCCAUCAUGUGAUAUAGUGCCUGCUGUGCUGUCAGCCAUCGCAGAGGAUUACUGGCAGUGUUGUGAGUUUUCUGGCGGCCGGCUGCAGCCAAAUGAGGAGGAGGAAAUGGAAGUGGAGAAGCUGCAGAUGGGUUCUGCCAGGUCAUGUCACCCCAUGUCACUGAAAUGUGAUCUGUAGUUCUCACUUGAAAAAGCACAGUCCUGAUUAAACAAGUUUUAGUUCAUUGCACUUUGACCAAGUAGCCUAUGUCCUGUAACAUGUCUGAAAAUUGAAUGUUUCAAAAGCUAAAAGUGUGCAUUGUGUUUUUUUCCUUUUGGUUAUAUUUAUAAAUAUGGUAACACAGAUUUCUAGGCUCAUGAGAGGGAAUGUCUGAGUGAAAGAUGUAAUGUGGAACAGGCAGGCUUUCUUCUGUGUACAGGAUUGAAGCCAGCGCCAACCAACUGGACAGUUUCCAGAUUGUAUAAAAGAAAGCAGUAGGUGAGUUGAAUCCCUCUAUACUUCUAUAUCUGAAGACAGAAAUCUACUUGGAGUUAGAUUUCAUACACAUUUGGGUCCAUUAGAUUUGGGAAUAAAUAUAUUUUGUGUAAUCUGAUGUUCCCAGCAAAGAGAUUUAGAUUUCUUGAGAGAGACUACAA